rnacentral:rRNA from 1 species
UACGGAGGGUGCAAGCGUUAUCCGGAUUCACUGGGUUUAAAGGGUGCGUAGGUGGGUUGGUAAGUCAGUGGUGAAAUCCCCGAGCUUAACUUGGGAACUGCCAUUGAUACUAUCAGUCUUGAAUACCGUGGAGGUCAGCGGAAUAUGUCAUGUAGCGGUGAAAUGCUUAGAUAUGACAUAGAACACCGAUAGCGAAGGCAGCUUGCUACACAAUUAUUGACACUGAGGCUCGAAAGCGUGGGGAUCAAACAGG